AUCCACCCACCUUGGCCUCCCAAAGUGCUGGGAUUACAGGUAUGAGCCACUGUGCCUGGCCUCUUAUUUUUUCUUUGGUUAAACUUUCAGGAAAAAAGUUUGAGCCGCUUUUAAUUUUCUUUCUGUUUUCAAAUAAAUUAUUAGAGACAAAGUUUCUCUCUAUUAGGAACUCUGUGUACAUGAGUUCAUUGAGCUUAUUCUUAAUAAAGACAAAUCUUCCAGCAAUAAUAGUUGUUAACUUUAAGUGAUCUCAAGAAAAGGAAAAUUUUUAAUUUCUCUGGGGAAUGAAUUUUCAUGACCUAAUCUUAAAUCAGGUUAUUUCUUCUAGCCUGUUUACUAAAUUUCUACGUGUUGUAAUCUAAUGAAAUUUUCUUACUUCCUCUUUAUUUAAAACAAACGAUAAUUACUGUCUUUUAAAAAAUCUUCCAAUGUAGCGUUCUUAUUUUUCUUAACACAUUAAUUUUCCUGGGCCAAACUGUGUUACUAUGAUCCACAUUAAUUAAGGCUGUUAUAUAAUACAAUAAAAUUGUAGAACUUUCAUACCUUGAAGGAUCUUAGCAAUUAUUUAAUUCAAACCCAUUCUAACAUAGAUGAUAAAACAGAUUUGCAGAGUUGGGUGGCUCAUAUCUGUAAUCCCAGCACUUUGGGAGACUCAAGCGGGAGGAUUGCUUGAGCCCAGGAGUUCAAGACCAGCUUGGGCAACAUAGUGAGAAGCUGUCUCUACAAAAAAAAAACUUAAAAAAUAGCCAGGCGUGGUGUCACGUGCCUGUAGUUCUAGCUACUUGGGAGGCUGAGGUGGGAGGAUUGCCAGAGCCUGGGAGGUUGAGGCUGCAGUGAACCAUGAUUAUACCACAGCACUGUAGCCUGGGCAACAGAUCGAGACCUUGUUUCACAAAACAAAACAAACAGAUCUACAAAGAUCAGCUUGUCAUAAGUCAUAUAAUCUUUUUGUGUAAUAACUGAAAACCGCAUCUUCUAGCCUCAAACCUGGUAUUUUUUUCUACGAAAUUAUGUUCUACAGUCCAAAUUAUUUUUCUUUAUUAUUUUGAAUCCUAAAGUAGAAAUAGAAACUUAGAAAAAUAAAAAGCAACUCCUUUAUAAUAUAUGAGGACUUUUUCGGUUUUAAAUCAGAAAAACCCAACUCAAGGUAGCUUAAAUAAAAGGACUUACAUAACUGAAAAGCUCUGGCCUGGAUCUAGGUGCUCAACAGAUCUCAAGAGUAUCUCUCUCAUUCUCUCUUCCUCCCUUACCCUCCUCCUCCUUUCUCUCUUCUGUAUAUAUGUUAUUUUCAAACAGGCUCUCACAAGUAGUGGCGAGAUAUAGUUCCUAACAGCUUCAAGUUUGCAUUCUACCUACUUUAGCAACUAUGAUGGGAAGAGAGCUACAAUUUGAGCAAAAAUUUAUAGGGUGAAUUCUGAUUUCCCUGGAUCAAGGCACAUGCCUAUUCCUGAACCAAAUAUUCUGACCAGGGAAUGGAAUUCUCUGGGACAUGUAUCUAAAGCUGAAGUAUAGAGCCUGCCACACAGGGAUAAUAGUAGUUUUCCAAAGAAAAAUCAAGGAGGGGAAAGAAUGUUGGAAAGAGAAAAAAAUAUCAGUUGUCUGCUUCACAUUUAUUCUCAAUAAUUAGUUUCAUAAACGUGAAAUACUGUAACACCCUAAACUUCAGAGAUUCUUCGUAGACAGGAAAAGUAAGAGCUCAAAGAAGUUGUGACUUCGUGCAAAUCACAUAGUUUCUAUACAUGCUAUUAGUAAAACCCAGGACAGCUGAGUACAAGUUUUACCCUUAUAUUCACAUUGAGGUCCAGAUCCUGGUUUUGAAUGAGAUAAUUAUGUGCAGUAGGACUGUUUUCUGAUCCUUAAAAUAGAGACAAUAAUAUCUAUCUUGUAAAGUUGUGGUAGUGUUAAAGUAUAUAAAAUGUUGGCAAGUACCUUAAUAUACGAAAAGCUGCUAUAUGUUGUCGUUGUAAUAAUAGCCAUAUUUCUUCUUUUGUUGAAUUGCUUUCCUAUAGUAAUCUUACUGUGAUCAUCCUGAAACAUAGAUUUCCGAGCUUCAAGCAAACACUGUUAUGUUGAAACAUCUACAUUAUUUCUAAGUUUAGCAGUGCUGGUGGAAAGUUUACUGAAAUAGAAAAUUGCUUUUUUAACUGAGGAGUGUAGAUAAUAAAUUCAUGAUUCAUCUUCUCAGAAGAUGAUCGGAGUAUUGAUAAAUAUUGAUACAUAGAAUAUGAAUGAAACAUUACAUAUCUUGUGCUAUGAUAUUAAAGUAGUAUUCUGUUCUGGUAGUAGUAUGGCAGUAUUUUAGGUCUGAAAGAUGUAUAUAAUCUGUACUUUUAAGUCUGUUUUUUAAGAGAUUAAUCACGAGAUUUACAUAAAACUAAGGUUAAAAAUUAAUGGUGGAUUAGAGAAACAUCAGGCAAAUUUCAGUUUCAAAAGCAGAUGACAGAAUCUCAGUAUCAGAGUAGCAUUUAAAGCAAAAAGCAUUAAACUGGAUCAGAAAUGUCAUUUUACAUUAACACAGGGUAUACUCCAGGUAAAGACUUAGCAGUUAUGAACCAAUGUGCUAACCAUAACAUCAAAAUGUAUUAAACAAAAGCUGAAAAAAAUGAAGAAUAAUUGGCAGAAAAGCAAUGAUGGGAAUCUUUACUGUACUUCAGAAGUUACAAAGUAAGAAGGUAUAGUCAUGUGCCACGUAAUGAUGUUUGAGUCAACGCCUGACAAUGGUCCUGUAAAAUUAUAAUGGAGCUAAAAAGUUUCUAUUACCUAGUGAUGUUGAAACCGUUGCAAUGCAAUGUAUCACUGACAUGUUUGUGGUAAUGCUGGUGUAAGCAAACUUACUGUACUGUCAGUUGUAUAAAAGCAUAGCACAGUUAUGUUCAGCAUGUAAUACUUUAUAAUGAUAAACGAAUGUUACUAGUUACAUGUUUACAGUACAAUUUUAUUAUUUUAGCGUGUGCUUCUGCUUAUUAAAAAAUGUUAACUAUAAAAUAAUCUUUAGGUAGAUCCUACAGCAGGUAUUCCAGAAAAAGGCAUUAUUGUCAUAGGAGAUGUGAGCUCCAUGGGUGUUAUUUCCCCUUAAGACCUUCCAGUGGGACAAGAUGUAUAGGUGGAAGACAGUGAUAUUGAUGAUCCUGACUUGUAGAGGCCAAGGCUAAAGUAUGUAUGUAUUUAUUAGUUUUUAACAAGAGUUUAAAAAGUAAAAAAAAAAAUAAAAAUUUAAAAAUAGAAAAAAUAUUACAGAAUAAGGAUACAAAGAAAAAAUGUUUUUGUGUAGCUGUGUAAUGUUUUUAAGUUAAAUGUUACAAAAGAGUCAAAGUUAAGUUUUUGUAUGUUUAUAAAGUGAAAAGUUAUAAAAUGCUAAGGUUAAUUUACUGAAGAAAGAAAAAAUUUUAAAAUAGAUUUAGAGUAGCAUGUUUAUAAAAUCUACAGUAGUACACAGUAAUAUCCUAGGCCUUCACAUUAACUCACCACUCACCCACUGACUCACCCAGAGCAGUUUCCAGUCCUGCAGUCUCCAUUCGUGGUAAGUGCCCUAUACAGGUGUACUGUUUUUAUGUCCUUUAUACCAUUUUUACUGAACCUUUUCUAUCUUUUAGAAAAACAGAUACCAUUGUGUUAUAGACAUAACUGUAUAUAUAUAAGUGGCUUGAAUAAUAAAAUAAUAAAAUGUAUUUUUUUCUCUCAUUGACAAAACAAUUACCAAUCUUACAAAUUAGACCAACUACAAAACAAAAUCUCACUCUAAAAUAAAAAUAUAUAAGUCCCAUUUCUUGAUUACAAUUCAUUAGAACUGGAGAUUUUUUUAAUGUUUAAAUUUAUAUGGAAAUAUAAAAUCAUGUUUUAAAUAAUUUUUGAUUGAAUGAGGAAAUGUAAAUUUACAUUAGAAAUUAAGAUUAAUAACAAGUAGAGAUUUAUAAAGGCAAAAAUGUUAAUGAAUUAGGAAACAGUAAACCAUUUGAACUAAUAAAUCUAAAUACUGAUUGCAUGAAAAUGCCAAUAAAAUCAAUACAUCUUUUUAAAAGCCAGUCAAGGAUAAAAGAAAAGAGGGAAACUAAAAACGAGACGUUAAGUACGAGAAAGGAGAUAAAACUACAGUGUGGAGGUGAUAUUAAAAAUUAUAUUCAGGUCUGUGCUAAUCAUUUCAGAAAUUUCAAUGAGAAAUGGGCAAUUUUCAGUGAAUAUGUCAUUGUAAAUGCUUUAAGGAGAGAGACAAAAUCUGAAUAGACCCUGCAAUAAUGAAAAUGUCUAGGAGCCCUCAAGAAAUACCUGGUUUAAAUUGCAUUUCAGGUGACUGCUUAUCAAACCUUGAAGUAUCAAGUAAUUAUGUUAUCUAAAUUGGACCAGGUGCUAGAAAAUAUGUAAGACUUCACAGGUGGCUGCUUAUGUAGCCCUUAUACCUUAAUCUGAUAAAGGUAGCAUAUAUUUAAAAAGAAAACCAGAAGGUAUAGUUUAGGGAAAAUUAAAUAUUUCUAUUUGGCCAAAGUAAGAGUACAUUCAAGGGAAUUGUGAGAGGUAAGAGUGGAAAAAGAGGUUGGAGCUGUAUUUUUAUGCUGUGAUUGAAUUAUAGUGUGUGAUAAAUUGCUCUUGUUUGGGUAGAAUACCAUUUGACAUUUUGAAUUAAUUGGUAAUUGGAUUAAUCUUAACUUUAAAAAAAUUAAGAGUGGUAUAAAGGAUAGAUUACAGAAUGGAUAAAGGGCGAUAAAUCAGUUGACUAUGGCAGAAUUGCAGGAAGAAACAAAUAGGCCACAGAAAACUGAAACUGACAUUUUGAGUAGUGUUUUGUAAUCAAGAUCUGGAUUUUGGCAGCUGAGUAGAUGCAUAGGAAUCAAAGAUGAGUAUACUAAAUGAACUUAAUCUAUAAUCUGUGGUUUGUCUCAUUUUAUUGUGUACCAUUAGUGUGUAUGCAUGUAUGUAUGUGCCAGGUAGUUAAUAUGCUGACUGUGUCUCUUAGCUCCCCUCUGCUGCCUGGACCUUUGCCACAGUGCUAGAGUUCCCUCACUUCUCUUUUCUAUAACCCUAUUAUAUUACUGCUGUCUCUCAGCUGUGUUUCCUUCCUCAAGCAGAAAGAAGAUGGCAGGAUCAUAUAGUAGUUGACUAGAAGCUGUGGAGUUUGAGUGCUGGGAUUAUGUCUAGUUGCAUUACUUAUGAAGAUAUAUGACCUUACCUCAUCUAUAAAAUGGUUUACCAAUAGUACCUACCUUACAUGGUUUUAUGAGUAUUAAAUUAUGUAUUUCUAAAGAGAUUUAGAACAAUACAAAGAAUAUGGUAUGGGCUCAGUAAGUGGUGGUGGUGUUAGUUAUUAGAAGGCCAUCGAGUGCUGGAGAAAAUAGUGAAUAUCAUUGAUGGAAAUAAGGGAGGUUUUCCAAGUUAAAAAGCUUCAGUUGUUGGAAAUGUGUGUUGUAAGUAUUUCUGCGAAUACCAGGUAGAAAUUCCAGCCAGAUGUUGGAAUUCUGCACUGGCAGUUGGGAAUAAAGUCAUGUUGAAGGAGAUAAGUUUUGGAGUUAUUGUGUAAAAUUGGUAAAGCACUGGAAUAGAUUGGAUUGACAGAGGGGAGACUCUUCUGAGAUAGGCCUAUAUUUAGGGACAAGAGAAGAGACAACCAAUAAGGGUUGAAAGAAACCUUAAGAGAGUAAGUCCUAUGACAGAAGCAGGGAAGUUUCAGAAUGGAUGCAGAAAGAUCAGCCAGGCUCUUCCUGUUCUCCAUCAUGGUGUGGCAUCAAGGUGGAAAGGAUAUCACCAUGCAGGAACUUUGCAUCUGCAGGCUCUGCUUCAACAUCUGUUUAGGAGAAAGUGGAGACAGAUUGACCUGAGUAACCAAGGUGUUGGAUCAGCUUACAGGUCAGACCUGGUGUUUUCCAAAGCUAGAUAAUACUGUUAGCCCUUUUGGCAAUAGAAGAAAUUAAAAGACUGUUGUCUGCUGCACAGUUCGAGAGGCCCAGGCAGAUGAAAUCUUGGAGAAUGAUCUAAAGGUGCACGAGUGUGAGUUAAGAAAAAAUACCUUCUCAGAUACUGGAAACUUUGGUUUUGGGACCCAGGAACACAUUGAUCUAGGUAUCAAAUAUGACCCAAGCAUUGGUGUCUGCAGCCUGGACUUCUGUGAAGUGCUGGAAAAGCCAGGUUUCAUCAUUGCAGAUAAGAAGUGCAGGACAGGCUGCAGUGGUGCCAAAUAGAAUCAGCAAAGAGUAGGCCGUGCGCUGGUUCCAGCAAAAGUAUGAUGGGAUCAUCCUUCCUGGCAAAUAAAUUCUCAUUUCUACCCAAAAGGCCAAUAAAAAGUUUUCAGUGAAAUGUUUAAAAAAAAAGAUCAGCCAGCAGCCAGUAGGGUAUUAGUUGUUGAGAAAGCACUAAUGACCAUUAAGAAAUCAGCCUCGACUGGGCAUGGUGGCUCAUGCCUGUAAUCGUAACACUUUAGAAAGCCAAGGCAGAUUUCUUGAGUCCAGGAGUUGAGACCAGCCUGGGCAACGUGGCAAAACCCUCGUUUCUACUAAAUCAGUCAGUCAAUCAAUCAAUCAAUCAAUCAGCAGGCAAGCAAGCAAGUAAGCAAGCAGGGCUUGGUGUUAGGCUCCUGUACUCCUAGCUACUCGGGAAGCUGAGGGGGUUGAACCUGGGAGGCAGAGGUUGCAGUGAGCCAAGAUUGCACUACUGCACUCCAGCCUGGGUGACAGAGUGAGACCAUGGCACGCCCCCUCCCCUCCAAAAGGAAAUCAGCCUCAUAAUCAAUUUCUCUGGAUUAAGGAGUAAGAGCAUCUCAAGAUUUGCUAUUUAUAGAGCGGGCGGCUGAUGGUUUGAGAGAGGUACAGAAUCUAGGGAGAGUGUGUGUUUUGGUCUUUCAGUUGUUUGCCGACCUUGGAUAAAGAAUAAAGAUUACUUGAGCAUAUUAUUUAGAGACAAGUGGAGAGAAUAAAGGCACAUGCCAGAUAGCAGAUAAUUAAUAAAGCACUUGCCCAAAAUAGAACCUCGUUAAACAGGAAGAGACGUCAAUCAUGGAGCGAUUUUAAGAUGGGAGAAGGAAAUUUUGAGUGUUUAUAUUGGAUGACCUCAGGGUUCCCAGUAAAACAGGAGCUGAAUUCAUCGAAGAUGAUGUGUUGGUCAGGAUAAAAAGAGAGGUUGGGAGAACAAAGUGCUAAAAUCAUUGUGGUCAAGAGUUUAGUAAGUGUAUACCAGAAGAGUUAUUGAGUGAUAUGGGUUUGAAAUAGACAAAGCUGUAGGAAUAGGGGCUGGAAAGAAUAUUAGAAGGAACACUAAAUAUACUUCUGAGGUCUACCUCCUGGUCUGUGAACAUAAAGGAGUUGAAGGAGUAAUGGCUGAAGUUCUUCAGUUAGCUAAAGUUGUUUAGCUAAAGUUAGAAUGUGUUGAAAGUUGGGCCGGGCGCGGUGGCUCAAGCCUGUAAUCCCAGCACUUUGGGAGGCCGAGACGGGCGGAUCACGAGGUGAGGAGAUCGAGACCAUCCUGGCUAACACGGUGAAACCCCGUCUCUACUUAAA